rnacentral:lncRNA from 1 species
GAGGAGUGAAAGGGGUGAGUGAAUACAGCACCCUCAGCUGAAAUACCUAGGUUAUUGCACCCCACAGAUCUUUGCAACCCACGGAUCAGGAGAUCCCCUCGUGAGCCCAUGCUACCAGGGCCUUGAGUCUGACACACAGAGCUGUGUGGAGUCUUGGCAGAACAGCUGCUCAGGCACAUUGGAAUUCCACCUGGCCACCAGCAACAGAGUGGAGACUGCCUGAGACCAGACGGAGCCCAUGGAGAGAGGGGCAGGCUGCCACCUGGAUUGCUGGAUAACUCAGCUGUUCCAACCUGCGGGCUUUGGAGAGUCCAAAGGGUCCCAACGAGGAAGGGUCCCCCCAGCAGUGAACCACAGCAGCUUUGCCAGUUAAAGGCCAGACUGCUACUUUAGGCAGGACAUCAAUCCAUUCCUCCUCACUGGACGGGACCUACCUGGUGGGCCCACCAGCCAUGCCCAAGCGCAUGUAUUAGGGACAGAGCUCUGAUGUCUCCCUGGGAUGGAGUGCCUGGAAGAGGAAAGGGCCACCACCUGGGUUGGUUGGAUAACUCAGCCAUUCCAGCCUGCCAGCUUUGGAGAGUCCAAGCCGACUGAGGCAAAGGGGGUUCCCCACCAUGACAGCUGUUUUGUAGAGGUGUGGCCAGACUGCUUCUUUAAGCAGGACUCCAUUAUACUCCUCCUUGUGGGGCGGGUCCUCCCAGCAAACAAACAAACAUACAAACACAAAACAACAAAAACAAAACCACAAGAACUCCAUCCAAAGGUCAGCAACUCAUUUGUAAAUAAGCCCACAAAGAUGAGAAAAAAAAUCAACACAAAAACUCUGAAAACUCAAUAAUCUGGAGUGCCCCUUUAAAAAUGUUGAGGGCAGCCAGAGAGAAAGGCCAGAUCACCUACAAAGGGAAGCGCAUCAGACUAACAGCAGACCUCUCAGUGGAAACCCUACCAGCUGGAAGAGAUUGGUGGCCAAUAUUCAACAUUCUUAAAGAAAAGAAUUUCCUAUCUAGAAUUUCAUAUCUGUCCAAACUAAGCUUCAUAAGAGAAGGAGAAAUAAGAUCCUUUUCAGACAAACAAAUGCUGAGAAAAUUGGUCACCACCAGACCUGUCUUGCAAGAGCUCCUGAAGGAAGCACUAAAUAUGAAAAGGAAAACCUGUUACCACAAUAAUAGUGGGAGACUUUAACACUCCACUGAUUAGACAGAUCAUCAAAACAGAAAAUUAAC